GACGAACGCUGGCGGCGUGCUUAACACAUGCAAGUCGAACGGAAAGACCCUGCUUUUGUUGGGUGCUCGAGUGGCGAACGGGUGAGUAACACGUGAGUAACCUGCCCUUGACUUUGGGAUAUCUUCAGGAAACUGGGGCUAUUACCGGAUAGGAGCUCCUGCUGCAUGUUGGGGGUUGGAAAGUUUCGGCGGUUGGGGAUGGACUCGCGGCUUAUCAGCUUGUUGGUGGGGUAGUGGCUUACCAAGGCUUUGACGGGUAGCCGGCCUGAGAGGGGGACCGGCGACAUUAGGACUGCGGUACGGACCAGAAGCGUACGGGAGGCAGCAGUGGGGAAUAUUGCGCAGUGGGCGGAAGCCUGAUGUAGCAACGCCGCGUGCGGAAUGACGGCCUACUGGUUAUAAACCACUUUCGACUGUGACGAGGCGGGAGUGACGGUAAUGGGUAAAAAAGCAACGGCUAACUACGUG
rnacentral:rRNA from 1 species